rnacentral:rRNA from 1 species
GACGAACGCUGGCGGCGUGCUUAACACAUGCAAGUCGAGCGGUAAGGCCCUUUCGGGGGUACACGAGCGGCGAACGGGUGAGUAACACGUGGGUGACCUGCCCUCAGCUCUGGGAUAAGCCUGGGAAACCGGGUCUAAUACUGGAUAUGACUCCAUGACGCAUGUUGUGGGGUGGAAAGCCUUGUGCGGCUGAGGAUGGGCCCGCGGCCUACCAGCUUGUUGGUGGGGUGANGGCCUACCAAGGCGACGACGGGUAGCCGGCCUGAGAGGGCGACCGGCCACACGUGGGACUGAGACACGGCCCAGACUCCUACGGGAGGCAGCAGGUGGGGAAUCUUGCGCAAGUGGGACGAAAGCCUGACGCAGCGACGCCGCGUGAGGGAUGACGGCC